UCUGGAUUAAUGCAACUUGAUGGGAAUCUGAGGAAUUCACAGCACUGUGUGCGACGGAAGGUUUGAGCCAUUUGACAGAUCUCAAUUUCCAAGCAGUGCUAGUCCGACUCUGGCUGUAACAAUAGGAUGUAAACUAGGAAAUAAUGUCGACAAUCAAUAGGAAACACUCUGGAUAACUUUUCCCACUGGUGAACAGAUGACUUUUGACUUCACAUCUUUUUAAACUGUUUAGCCAGUAAAACAACAUUCAGCUCCAUUCACACGAAGUACUGGUCCCAGCAAAACACCAGAUGGUGUGUUUACUGCAGCUGUGUCAAGUGACUGUGGGAUUCAACUGGUUGGAUCAUAUCGAUGUGUAGGAGCCGUGAGAGGAAGCUGUUUCAUGUGUGCAUACGUCAAGCACUCAGGCUUCUAUGCGAGAAGGAAUCGUGUUAUGACCGUGAAGGAAAAUCCGAAUUGCAUCCAGAAACAUUGGACUUUAAAAAGAAGACCUGAGUU